rnacentral:rRNA from 1 species
AACGUAGGGGGCCAGCGUUGCUCGGAAUUACUGGGCGUAAAGGGUUCGUAGGCGGUGCGGCAAGUCGGGGGUGAAAUCUUCAGGCUAAACUUGGAGGCUGCUUCCGAAACUGCCGUGCUAGAGUGCGGGAGAGGCGAGUGGAAUUGCAGGUGUAGCGGUGAAAUGCGUAGAUAUCUGCAGGAACACCAGUGGCGAAAGCGGCUCGCUGGACCGCAACUGACGCUGAGGAACGAAAGCUAGGGGAGCAAACAGG